rnacentral:rRNA from 1 species
UCGGGAACAUUGAGACAGGUGCUGCAUGGCUGUCGUCAGCUCGUGUCGUGAGAUGUUGGGUUAAGUCCCGUAACGAGCGCAACCCUUGUCCUUAGUUACCAGCACGUUAUGGUGGGCACUCUAAGGAGACUGCCGGUGACAAACCGGAGGAAGGUGGGGGAUGACGUCAAGUCAUCAUGGCCCUUACGGCCUGGGCUACACACGUGCUACAAUGGUCGGUACAGAGGGUUGCCAAGCCGCGAGGUGGAGCUAAUCCCAGAAAACCGAUCGUAGUCCGGAUCGCAGUCUGCAACUCGACUGCGUGAAGUCGGAAUCGCUAGUAAUCGCGAAUCAGAAUGUCGCGGUGAAUACGUUCCCGGGCCUUGUACACACCGCCCGUCACACCAUGGGAGUGGGUUGCACCAGAAGUAGCUAGUCUAACCUUCGGGAGGACGGUUACCACGGUGUGAUUCAUGACUGGGGUGAAGUCGUAACAAGGUAGCCGUAGGGGAACCUGCGGCUGGAUCACCUCCUUAAUCGAAGAC